rnacentral:rRNA from 1 species
CGCGUAGGCGGGCGGCCAAGUCGAGGGUGAAAGCCCCCCAGCUCAACUGGGGAAGUGCCUCCGAUACUGGUCAUCUUGAGGGAGGUAGGGGCGUGCGGAACUUCCGGUGGAGCGGUGAAAUGCGUAGAUAUCGGAAGGAACACCGGUGGCGAAAGCGGCGCGCUGGACCUCUUCUGACGCUGAGGCGCGAAAGCCAGGGGAGCAAACG